GUCCACGCCGUAAACGAUGGGUGCUAGGUGUCGCGGGCAUUGACCCCUGCGGUGCCGUAGCUAACGCGUUAAGCACCCCGCCUGGGGAGUACGGCCGCAAGGCUAAAACUCAAAGGAAUUGACGGGGGCCCGCACAAGCGGUGGAGCAUGUGGUUUAAUUCGACGCAACGCGCAGAACCUUACCCGGGCUAGAAAAUACGAGAACUUGGUGGAAACACCGGGGUGCCCGCAAGGGAGCUCGUGUCCAGGUGCUGCAUGGCUGUCGU
rnacentral:rRNA from 1 species